GUGCCAGCAGCCGCGGUAAUACAGAGGGUGCAAACGUUGCUCGGAAUCAUUGGGCGUAAAGCGCACGUAGGCGGUCCAGCAAGCGGGGAGUGAAAGCCCUCGGCUUAACCGAGGAAGUGCUUUCCGAACUACUGGGCUUGAGUACACAAGAGGGUCGCGGAAUUCCCGGUGUAGAGGUGAAAUUCGUAGAUAUCGGGAGGAACACCAGUGGCGAAGGCGGCGACCUGGGGUGAUACUGACGCUGAGGUGCGAAAGCGUGGGGAGCAAACAGGAUUAGAUACCCCCGUAGUCC
rnacentral:rRNA from 1 species